rnacentral:snRNA from 1 species
GUGCUUGCUUUGGCAGCACAUAUACUAAAAUCAGAAUGAUACAGAGAAGAUUAGCACGGCCCCUAAGCAAGGACGACACACAAAUUCAUGAAGCGUUCCAUAUAAAA